GCUCACCGGAACCCUUUGCUGUGUGGUCCUUUUUCUCUGGGAAGUAGAGCCUGCAGAUGCUGGAGUCUCCCAGGCACCCAGACACGAGGUGACAGAAGUGGGACAAUCAGUAACUCUGAGAUGUCAGCCGAUUUCAGAUCCAGCCCACAGGACCCAGAGAUUCAGCCACCUACGUCUGUGCCAGCAGUGUU